GAAUAAAGUACAUUUAUAAAGCUGCAAGUUUGACAUGAGUACUUUGAGGCUUUUAGCCAAACAGCCUUUGUCCCAAAGGCAGAUUCCAGGUUGGUCUGCCAAAACCUGCUGGUGGUCCUCUCUGGAAGAGAAUGCCUGUAGCUCUGCGCUGCCCUCUCUGCUCCCUGGUAGAGGAAUCCCCUGCUGGAAGGAUGGGAUGGCCCUGGGGUGUACGGAGCCCACGGGGGCUGGUCCCUCCUGGGACCAGGGUGCCCCUGGCCAUCCUUCCUGCCUCUUACCGGCCUCCCCUCCUCCUGCAUGGCCACUGCCAAGGGUCCCCAUUCCCACAGUGGCUCCAGGCUUGCGCCAGGCUCCUCCGUUCACACAUACCAGCUUGCAUCCAUGGCUUAGGCAACUUAGUUCACGUGAAAUAAAAUGGAAAAGGUGCCUACCUUCACAGAUAACACCCACGUCUUCCUUGUGGCAGCAGUUGUGAGUGCCCAGCCCCCUGUGAGAGCACUGCUCCAGGGAGGACUCGUCCCCUCUGCACAUCACCUCAUCCAGGAUAAUAUCUCCUGUGCCUUCCCCAAAAAAGGCAUCAGUUUUGGCUGAGACAGCAUCUCCGCAUCCGAGCUGCCUGCACACAACCGCGGCGUCCUUCAUGUCCCAGCCAUCAUCGCAGACGGUUGCCCAGCUCCCGUUGUGAAAGACUUCGAGGCGUCCCGAGCACGUGUCCCCUCCGUUCACCAGUCGGAGGGACAUGUCUUGGAAAAGCAGAGGGAAAUGCGUGGGCACUCGGCAGCCUCAGAAAUGGACUUUCCAGGUGCGUUUAUCAAACAGCAAAAGCCAACUUUGUUGUGUUGCACAGAAAGUGGCAAAAAUCUUAUUGUAACAAGCCACAUUGUGUCAGCUCAUCAGCUAUCAUAAAUGCCUAUUCUCAUAGUGUGCCGUAUACACCUGGGAGUAAAUGUAAAGAUUUUUUUUCUCUUUCAGGCUCUGAUAUGUGUGUCCAUAGCUAACAUUACCAUUCCUAUUGAUAGCAGUAUUUAACAGCAAAACUCAGAUAAACCUCAAGUAUCUCGGAAACUCAUCUUGCAUGCAUUUACUUGCUUUUAAAUUUUUACCUUCCUACCAGUGCUUAAGUUACUGCAUAAAAUAUAUCAGCUGUGAAAGCUUUGCAAGACCCAUCUAGGAAGAGCUCAACAGCUGGAACAGGCUCUGUUAUAGUCAGGGUAGUAACUGGCUCUAGGAAAGAAAACAGAAAAGUUUUACUGCAAAGGAUGCUUAAUAAUGUUCUUCAGUUACUAUGUGGGGGAAAAAAAAAGCAGUAGUGAUACAGAGCAACCCGUUUGAGAAGAAUCGAAUCAUCGCCAAAAGGGAGAAGGCUGCAAACUCUUUUUUACAUGUCAGGUGUUAAUGGUUGCGGUUACCUUGCAGAUGUGAUCUGUAAUUGUUAUAGGUAGGGACAUACACAACAAAGAGACACGUCUCUGCUUGGGUCAUGUUUUGACUCCACUCGAGGUCUUUACUAAAAAUCUAACCCUAUUAAAAAUUUGCUUUGAUUUUUCCCCCAGGGAAAGAUAUUCCCAGGAUAAGCUGUAAAUCAGCAUUCUUUGUGCCAGGUCUGAUCCACAACCCCUUUCACCCAGUUACGUUUCAUGCUUGUAGCGUGCCCACCACGUGGGCGAGCUUUGCCCGUGGGCCACCACUCGCCAUGCCAUGGCACCAGCUGCACGGAUGCUGCAGUGACUCAGGGCUCUCCAACUGUACAUGUGUUUCCAGCCAGAAUAUAGAAUUGCUGGAAAUCUGGGACUUUAUUUGGAAAAAUCCUAAAGGAAGUUACUAAUUUCCUACUAAAUAUAAGAAAAGGGAUUCUGAUUUACUAGUCAUAGUUGAUAAUUUAUGGGAAGUCAGGACUAGGAGGACUGAGAUCGAACAGGGAUGAUGUAAAAUGAUGAUUUAAAUAGUGAUGCAUAAAGCAGGUUUUCUACCUUUUCUUUACCAUCAUUUUCAUCUAUACCAUAGUGCUAAAGGAUGAAUACAAAUACCCAGAGCCAACCUUUCCCUGGGAUACCUUGCAAUCUAAGGGAUACGGUUUGGUGUUUGGUUUUUUCCCUUCCUUUAAAUAAUGCCUGGUCCAGCUCCUUUUCCCAUCCUUGCUCACCCUCUGGAGUAACAGAUGGUUGGCACAGCAUCAUUUCCCCAGAAUAGUAGCAGAGCUAUUUCUACAGACCAGGCUCAUUUCUGAGAGCUGGGUACUUACAGAAUACUCCACACAUUUAUCUCACUUUCAGAGGGAAAGGCUUUUAGAGAUCUGAAGUUCCAAAUUAGUUUUAUGGGCCUGGAGUGUGUUUUUCUUUCAGAGAAAGAAAUCAGAGACGCCGCCAACAACAUAAUUGAGUUCCUCCUAGUUUGUGGCCAUCAUAAACUGUACCAAGUAUACACACCUGUCUUACUCCUUGGUGGGUCAGUAAUUACGAGGUUUUCAUUUCAAGACAUUUUACUGUCACCUGGCAGCCAUUUGUAAUCAACUAAUGCACAUCCAUUCAGAAUGAGGGCCGUGUUUCCUAGGACUCUCUUUCUUCUUAAUUACUUUUCUCUGACCAUGAUCAAAGCUCCUUCUAUAUCCAAGUACCACGCUUGUCAUUUACUUCUGCAAAAGUUGGCUGUAAAGAAAUGCCAGCAGCAACGUGCUUGGCUCACUUCCCAAGAUCUAGGUCUAAACUUCUACAAGACUGCCAAAUAUGAUUUCAAGGAGGGAAAAAAAAUAUCAUUGAGACACAAGGUAAUUAGUCUGUUGAUCCAGGCAUUGAGUAUUCACCAGCGAUAGUGAAAGGUGUUAAAUAAAAAGUUUAGGAACUGGACUACGCCAGCUAUCUAAAUCCAGGUAGGAAUAGUGAGAAAGACGCAGAUUGAAAAUCCUAGAUCCAGAUCUUGACCUAAAUUAGUCAGAAAUAAAUCAGUUGUGAUUCAUCUGAUAUAAAAGUGUUUUUACUGGGAGGGAGGCAUCUCUCCUACAAAAGUUUCUAAGUAAAUUAAGUAUUUAAUUAAUCUGAAAUAUGAGCAUCAAUUUGAAUUUUUUGGGGCACUUUUUCAGAAAAUAAAAGAUUGAUUAAGUAACAGUCCCAAGAAUCUUUAAUAUGCUCUUGUGGGGAUGUCUGAAAGCUGAAAGGUAACUUUUUACUUUAGCAAGUCAUUAAAAGAAAAGAAUCGAUAUUUAUCUCUUCAAAGUCAAUGCUUUCUGCUUAGUGAAGUGUAGAAUAUAAUCAAAGGAGUCAGUGAGCACUUAGUUUUCCUGAGACUUUAACACAAACAACAGUUUACCUGCCGUAUGUAGAAAUGAAAGUAAUGAGACGAUUAGUUAGAGCUAUAGAGGAGCCUUUUUCCCCUUUAACUGCUGAACAACAUCCCUGUUACACACAGUAUACGUAAAUAAGAUGAAAUUGUUUGCUCAGAAGCUUAGUUGAGCAGGCAUAGGCAAAGCACUUAAUAGUUGCAAGCACAUAUUUCCAUAGUAAUUCUUAGGAAACCGUAUCUACACCAUGUAUUAGGUUAUUUAAGCCUGCAGAGUAGUCAGCUCAUCCAUCACUCGUUUGAGGAAUUCACAGUCAACUUCUGAAUGUCAAGCAAAUAAAAGUGAAUCUUGAGGGACCACAUUAAUUUCUUAGUUUCAUGGGUGCGUGCAAAGAAGUGCAAACUCCUUUCAUUCAGCUGGAGUAGAGCCCAGUCUGAACCAGUAAGGCAAGCAGCAAAACCUGAUCAAAGCUCUGCCAAAUAUUCUUCCAAGUAGGGAAAGUUUUCAUUUCUGUCCUUUUGGAAGUGAAAUGACUGGCAGGAAAAAGGUAGAGAAACAGUGACUAAAAUGUUUUUGCUGUGCUGAAGAUUAGUCUGUUCAUUUCCAAGACAUUUGUAGAAAUUAGGGUGGAUAGAUCCUAGAUCUGAACAUGAAAAUAUUGUUUGCAAUAGUGGGUGGAGCUGCUAGCAAGUCUGUACUACACUUUGUAGUGCUGCUACCACUGGUACAGAGUCACAGCUCGGAACUUCUGACAGCAUAGAUAAGGCUGUAGAAGACAAGCAGUGUUAAAAAAAGGUGGUAAAGAGAGGAAUUAUUGGUUGCCUUGGUAAUUGCUUAUCAUUUUGUGCAGCAUCUUGGACUAACAGAUGGUAUGGGUGUAAAACAGCAGCACUGCCACCACCCGUAAUGAGAACCUCAGCCCUUGCCACCAAAACUGGUACAGUGCAGACAGAGUGGCAGGAGGAAAGGCAAGUUCUGUGCACUGUCUGGAGGGCACGAUCAGAAUUCAAAAUGAUCUACAUAAACUGAAUAAACGUCAGAAAUCAGCAAGCUGGAAUUCAAUAAAGACAGGUGGAAUGGGCUGCUCAUUGGAAAGAGAAAAAACAAUGCACAAAGGCAAAAUCAUCCUUUCAGCUGGCACAGGACCAUGGAAAAAACAUGUCCAGCCAGUCCAGUGUUGGGCUCGCUCUUGGGGUGGAAUGUGGGAGCUACUUUCUUGCCCUGGCUAAGGAGACCUCAGCUGCUCGGUCAAUGAUUGCACAUUUGGGGAAGAUAGAGGUAAUGGGAGAGUUUGGGUGAACGAAUCAAGAAUAUAAUAGGCUUGAAAAUCACGAGCUCCGAGGAAAGCUUUAAAGAAUUGCAUUUGUUUUAUGUGGGAAGUGUCUUUCACUGUUCUGAAGAAGGCUUUGGAAGAGGAUGGUCAGCAGUGACCCUGCUCACCAGAGUCCACAGAGAGCUAGAAGAGCAACUGUAGGCACUACAGAAAACGUCUGUCGAUGAAAGAACUUUGAAUAUAGCGUCCAAUGCUUUUUUUUUUGGGUGUGUCUUGAAAGCACCUGUCAAGUUCAGAGGCAAAGUACAACAGUCAUCUCCCCUGGUGGAGCUUUGCAUAGGAGUUUAAAGCUCACCGAUGCUAUCAAUUUUUGCUUCAUUAGAAGAGGAGGUAGGACAGCAUGUGGUGGGUAGGAAGGUCCCAGCUCAGCUGAUGGCUGAUGCAAAAUGGCCCUGUCUGGUGAAAUUCUGGUUUUAAGAUUUUUCAGUAUGUAAGGAAUUUAAUAGAUUCACUACAACUGCUCAUUCAUUAAAAACUUGCAAAAUGUAUUAUAAAAUAGAUGCAAGAAUAAAAGCUGCCUCAACAAAGAGAAUGGGGAAAGGGUGGGACAUACACACGCACGCUGCGGCACCAUCAGCGCUGGUGAAGGGCUGGACCCGGAGCUCUGUUGAGGUUCCUUUCCCUUCCCCAAUGGGAACACUAAGAGGUGUCGAGGGGGGGUAUAUGGAUGGAACAAGCAUACAAGGUACGCCCAGGAUUGCCUCCUAGUUUGCAGUUCAGGGGCUUUCUGAGCCCCGAACGGUGCCUUGCAUGGUGGUACAGGACAGAGGCGGGUUUGCUCCUAAGGAUGCAAAGUGCAGGGGUUGUGUCUGGCUGUUCCUUACCUUUGCUUGGAGUGGACGGCGGUGCUGGGGCUGCUGAUGGCUCAGUACUCUCUGUGACCGGGGCAGAUGUGGUCAGGUUGCCUGUUUCUGUUGAAGGUUUGCGGAAAAAAAAACCCACCAUCAGGAACAAUGACCAAUAACGACCAAACAUGAAUAUCAACCAGAAUUAAAUUUUUCAUUAAAACCAUUGGGAUUUGUCAUUUUGCCAGAAAAAUGUGAAAAUACAGGAAACUUUGUUUCGGAGAAUGAACGUGGACUUAUCACUUGUACCUCUACCUAAGUCUAAACAUUAAAUAAAUAUUUAAAAUUUGGAUUUUUAAGUUUCUCAGCCACCGAACAUGAAGCAAUGAGUUCUUAGCCCUCUAUUAAAACUUCAUUGCGUACGUUUUCCAUGUAGUAUGGCUUUCCCUGAGAUUACUUAGACUCAAAACUGAUUUUGUAACUAUAGCCUCAUCUUUGUAAGCUGUGCUUAGGAUUCCUAGUGUAGAUACUGCCUCAGCCUCUUCAUUUCCUGACGUGGAUACAGAGGAGGAAUACAGGUAUGUUAAAGGGACUGUGAAAGACUUGAGGAAAUACAUUAUUGGAGAAAAACAUCCAUCACUGAUAGCAACUGGAGCUGACGAUUGCUGAUAGGAUUUUGAUCAUGUUCUUGAAGGAAAAGUGAAUUGGAUUUUAGCCUGUAAAAUCUGGUAAUUUGAGUCACGACUUCAAGUAGCUAAUUACUCGGGCAAUGUGAUAUUUUGUUAAUAUUGACAAUAAGGAUCUGGGCAGCAGGUGUGGGGGCUUAGGCAGUGGGCAGUCAAGUGAACUUUCUGCUGGUAGGCAGCUCUACAGAACAGCUGCUGCGUGCUGUGCUUUACACUCUCCCAUCAUUAAUUCCUUGAUGAAAAAGUCCAACAGGAAUGAAUGGGAAAGUACAUAGAACCAGCUUCUGUACUGUGUCAGGUGGUAGCAUCUCCUUCUUUAAAACUGGGAAAGAAUUCUCAAAGAUUAAUCGAGUCUUUGAAGUGAAGAUGUCCCCGUCUGAUUUAAUCACUGAUGCUCUCCACUUCCCAGCCAAAAGCACUGGUAUUUGGGCACUUUUGCUGAUACCUGAGUUCUUACAAAUAGCACAAGCAGCUUAAAGCUCCAAAUUGCUCACAAUUACAUAUCUCCCAAGCUCUGACCACCCAAUAUUUUAGAAAGGAAGGGUUUAGAAGCUGGAUUCUUUCUUCACUGAGAUGAUUUAUUAGCUGUUGAUUAUCUUAUACUUUAUACAGUUAUUGUAAUCCUACCAAUGUAGUCUAUUUUAAACAAAACUAAACACCAGUAUUAUUAAAUUUUAUGUCAUAGUAUCGGUUCUUACCUUCAGCAGCUGUGGAAGAGAUUUCUGGAGCUGAGGUACCACCAUCUCCUGCAAAUGGAGCGGGUGAAAUGGAUGAUCCUGCAGUACUUUCAGGGGCUGUGAGAAGAGGGAAGAAACAUGGAAAUGGGAGGAAAAGAGCAUUUGGGUAAGGCUGAAUGUCUAAAAUCAGUCAUAUCCAUAUAUUCCUGAUAUGUCUUGACAGCCUGAUAUUUUUCAAGUUAAGGUGUUGUAAGGGGGUUGUUCUUUCACAGAGAUGUUUAAUUUGUAGUUGUCUUCCAUGAAUAUUUUACAGAUUUACAUGGUCACAUCUUAAUUCUUCCAAAACCCCCAAAUCAACAGACUAUUUGUUUUAAAUAGCACUUGCAAAAUGGCUGUUCUUACCUUUAUAAGCUGCGGUUGGGAUUUUGGGAGCUGAUGGGACAGUUUUCUCCGUGGCAGCAAUGGAUGCAGAAGGUGUAACUGAGGCUAAGAGAAAGUUGAGGAAAUACAAAGAAGAGGAAAGAUCAGCAGCAAUUAGGAGUGAACAUGUGAAUUGCAGCCUUGAUGAAAAUGACGCUGACAUCCUCAUUGUGUUCACAGUUAUGCCUGUUCCAGCCGCCGUGCCGACAGUCCCAAAGGUAAGAUUCAGUUCCUCUACACACCACGUCAUCCAGGUGGAUGUCUCCUUUGCCAGGGCCGAAGUAAGACUGUCCCAAGACAGAGACAACUUGACCACAAUCAAGUUGUUUGCAUACAACACUGCCACUGUUCACAUCAAAGUUAUCAUCACAGACUGUCCCCCAUUUGCCUUCAUAGUAAACUUCAACCCUCCCGGCACAUCGGUCCCCUCCAGAUACCAGUCGCAGUUGUGGAACCUCUGAAAUUAAAGCAAAUAUUGACAGGUAAACAUCUCAAUUUGUUAAUUCCCAGGAUAUCUAAGCUUCUUAUGCCUAAGCUUGCAUCUGCACCUGUGCCGGGAUGGGCUGCCCAGUGUUACUGGGUCUCCAGUGCCCAGGACUUUCUGGGGAGCACCUGCAGCGCGCGAGGCGGCACAGGGCAGGGAGCUGAACAGCAGAGCCCGAAUCAGUGCAGCUAAUGCAGCCCUGUUAAUUCACCCCUGUUAAUUCAGCCUUGUUAAUUCAGCCCUGUUAAGGUUAAUCCUGCUGCGUACAGGACCCGAUCAAUCACGAUAGGUCGCUGUUGGGAUAACCAGCUCACCCAGAGCUGGCUCAUGUAACCUUACAGGUGUGCCCGGUAUGUUCGCACUCAGGACCAUGUCUCACCUUCUUACCUUUGGAUUUAAAUUUGCUUUUUAUCCAGUCUGAAAAUUUCUUCCAUAGUGAUUUUUGAUCUUUAUCUUCUGAGCCCUCUGGUGAGUUCGACCACGCACCACUUGCUGUGUCAGAUAAAACACAAUAGUAUUGGUGUCACUUGUCACAAUUCUAGGCAUGUUUUAUGUUUUGCUGUGAGAUGGUACCCGCUAUGAGCUGAUACAGAGAUACAGUAAGUGUUGGUAUGUGGUGUGUUUUCAAAGCAGUCCCGUGGUUCCCCCCUCGGUCUGGAAGGACAUGCUCAUUUCCUCAUGGUUCAGUGGAAGUUCUCUUUGGAGGACCUGAUUUCAUGGCAGCACAAAGAGCAAAGGGAUCCUAUCCCAGAAAACCUCGUGUGAGUCAUUCACCUCCAGUGAAGACACGAGCUUCUGGGAGCCGAGCUCUGCUGGAUUCCACCGAGGCAGCAGAAGGGGUUACUCACCUUCACCCCUGGGAUUUCCACAGCUCAGGACCAUUCCUCUGGGCAGACUGUGGCAGUUGUUUUGGCUGACAGCCCAGCGUGUUCACUUAAAUCUUUGCAAAUACCUGCCCAGGUCUGCAUGGGAAGCUCAACUUUAACUCUGCAGUGAAGAAUAUGCUAUACACUGCUUAAGGUAUUUAAAAAUCUAUGUUUGAUUAAAACCGGACCAUGGUAUCGUGGUUCAGACACCAGAGGAUGAAGUGGUCUUCCAAAACAGGACACAAACCUGUGGUCUGAUCGUGCAGUUUUGAUAAUCUGUACUUUUAGUCACAUAAAUACCACCGAAAAUCUACUGGUGUUCACUGGAAGGAAAAGGAUUUAGGCUUCCAGGGGUAAAAGCAAUGUUUUCAAAUGGCAGCUUUAAAAAACAAUACCCUUGGUGUUUCAAAAUUAGCGUGCUCUGAAGAGCUGUCCCUGAUUCAGUCACUAAAAUCAGAAGAAAUUUCAUUUGGGGAUUUUUUUUUCUGUUUUUCAAUUUGGCAUUUGAUCUUCAGACACUCACUUUCACAGACUUUGACUUCAGUGAUACUAUAAUUCUUGGGUUUGUAAGACAUCACCCUAAGUGAUUUUUCCGGUCAAGGUUAAUCCAGCCUACAUCAGGUCAUGUCAAAGACAAAAGUUAACCUGUGGAAUAAGGACAAAGUUUUGCUCUGGGGUUUGACCACCUUCUGGAAAUGCAGCUUAGCCCUCUUUGAUGCUGAAAUUCCCUCUGGGCUGUCUUUACUCUGGUCUUAUAAAUAAUUCAAUAUAGCCAACCCCUUAAUCUAGACUUUAUGAAAUUAUCUCUUCUUGUAAGAGAUUGACAAGACUUUCUUCAUGGUGCCCACUCUGAUAAUUAAAGAUCAAAGUAUCGCAUUCAAGCCAGCAAGAUGAUAAGGAAGGUUUGGGGGUUACUGUCGUUUGAAGUUUGAAGGAACAUGAUGCUGCAGUAAAGUGUAUUUCCACCUGA